GAUGAACGCUGGCGGCGUGCCUAAUACAUGCAAGUCGAGCGAACGGACGAGAAGCUUGCUUUUCUGAUGUUAGCGGCGGACGGGUGAGUAACACGUGGAUAACCUACCUAUAAGACUGGGAUAACUUCGGGAAACCGGAGCUAAUACCGGAUAAUACUUUGAACCGCAUGGUUCAAAAGUGAAAGACGGUCUUGCUGUCACUUAUAGAUGGAUCCGCGCUGCAUUAGCUAGUUGGUAAGGUAACGGCUUACCAAGGCAACGAUGCAUAGCCGACCUGAGAGGGUGAUCGGCCACACUGGAACUGGGACACGGUCCAGACUCCUACGGGAGGCAGCAGUAGGGAAUCUUCCGCAAUGGGCGAAAGCCUGACGGAGCAACGCCGCGUGAGUGAUGAAGGUCUUCGGAUCGUAAAACUCUGUUAUUAGGGAAGAACAUAUGUGUAAGUAACUGUGCACAUCUUGACGGUACCUAAUCAGAAAGCCACGGCUAACUACGUG
rnacentral:rRNA from 1 species